UACAGAGGAGCCAAGCGUUGUCCGGAAUUACUGGGCGUAAAGAGCUCGUAGGUGGUUUGUCGCGUUGUCCGUGAAAACUCACAACUCAAUUGUGGGCGUGCGGGCGAUACGGGCAGACUGGAGUACUGCAGGGGAGACUGGAAUUCCUGGUGUAGCGGUGGAAUGCGCAGAUAUCGUAAGGAAGACCAGUGGCGAAGGCGGGUCUCUGGACAACACCUGACACUGAGGCACGAAGGCCAGGGGAGCAAACGGG
rnacentral:rRNA from 1 species